CAGAAGAAAAUCCUACUGUUUCUGGUUGGUAAGUAACAUUUGCUGGCGAAUAAACAGCUAGGUGAUCCAAAUGUGGCCGCCUCAAAUUUCAAUAUGUUCCCCCGAAAAAUUUCUAUAAUACACUCUAAAAAUACUCGGGUUGAAAUUUUCCUGGUUAACCAAGAAAUAACCCUAUUUGUGUUAAUUUAAAAUUAAUAUUCUUGGUUAAAUUUUCUUACAAUAGUGUUAGUUUAAUGUUAGUAGUGUUAGUGUUUGAAUUUUUUUUUUAAAUACCAAAAGACAACCGAAUUAAAGCAAACCAUAAGUACAAGUUGUACCUUAAAGCUGCAAAAAUAAACUGCUAUAAAUACUCAUUUUUUGUGAGAAUAGCAAGUAAAUGGAACAAGAGAGAUUGUGGAAUCAAAUAGUCUGCAACAGUUUACGAACAGACUUAGAAAAUUAAUGGAUAUGUAGCUAGGUCAAGAUAAUUUUAUAAUUUAUUCGUUGUUCUUUGUAGAUGUAAUGUAAAGUUUAGGGAAUUGUCAUAGUAUAGGGUUAACCUCACGAUUUCCUGUGAAAAAUAAAAACAAGUAUAGUAAUAGUGAUAAACAAGUGUUGAG